rnacentral:tRNA from 1 species
UAUAUCUUGGUGUAUGGUGCACGUUAGCUUUUGAUGCUCGGCGGUGACAGUUUAAUUCUGUCGGAUAUAA